GACGUAGGGUGCGAGCGUUGUCCGGAUUUAUUGGGCGUAAAGAGCUCGUAGGCGGCUCGUCGCGUCGACCGUGAAAACCCGCGGCUUAACUGCGGGCUUGCGGUUGAUACGGGCGGGCUAGAGUUCGGUAGGGGAGACUGGAAUUCCUGGUGUAGCGGUGAAAUGCGCAGAUAUCAGGAGGAACACCGGUGGCGAAGGCGGGUCGCUGGGCCGAUACUGACGCUGAGGAGCGAAAGCGUGGGGAGCGAACAGG
rnacentral:rRNA from 1 species